GUGCUUACUCUCGUAUUUCACACACUUAUCGUCACAUUUCCUGGGUGCCCUUUUUAAAAAAAAGAGGGUUGGGGAAUGGGAUAGGUGGAGGGGGCGAAA
rnacentral:sRNA from 1 species